rnacentral:lncRNA from 1 species
UUAGUAGUGUAAUACUCCACUAAAUCCACAUUAUGUCCAAAAAAUGAAAGUUCGAUUUUUAAUAGCGACACUUGUUGAGAGACGGCACACCCCGAACCCAAAAGUCUUACUAUAAAAGACCAGAAUCGCAACAGAUAAAAAGAGAAGAAAAAUAGAGCAGAUCCAUGUGUUCUCAUUGCCAAAAAGCAUAAACCUUUACUUUUAUUUUCAUACACAUGAUUCAAAGGUAACUGACCCAUAACUACAAUAACAACAACAAGUACUAAAACAUAUAAUGAUAUAUAUUAUCUUACUAAAUAGUACCAAUUGAAAGCAGCAUAAAAAAGUAGAGAUCUUUGAAACAAGUUCAACCAGUAUAGAUAUGAAGAUGAAGAGCCAAGAUAAAAAUCGCAUAAAGUGCAAAAAAGAUAAGAGUAUGAAUGAAUAUAGCUUUUCCAUUUGUCUUCAUGCUACUGAACUCAAGUUGUUUUCCAUUCCCUGGAAAUGAAAAUAACAAACCUGGUUGAAGCAACACAAAUAGUACUACACCCACUAACACUGGUGCCCAAUCAGUCAUUUCUCUCUAUCUUUUUCUUCUUUUUUUCUGACCCAAGAAAUAAAGAGAUUACAGAUCUGAAAGUAAUGAAAAAAGGUGAGUUUUUGUGGGUUGAGAAAGUGGGUUUGAGAGGAUUCUUGGGAUGGGAAUGAGCAUGAAAAUAAGGAACCGAAAGGGAUUUGAAAAUGACGCAUGGGAAUUUGGGAACAAUACAUGUAAAUG